GCUGGGCGUGGUGGCGUAUGCCUGUAAUCCCAGCUAUUUGGGAGGCUGAGGCAGGAGAAUUGCUUGAGCCCAGGAGAUGGAGGCUGCAGUGAGCUAAGAUAGUGCCACUGCACUCCAGCCUGGCCCACAGAGUAAGACUCUGUCUCAA
rnacentral:SRP_RNA from 1 species